rnacentral:rRNA from 1 species
GAUGAACGCUGGCGGCGUGCUUAACACAUGCAAGUCGAACGGGGAUGCCAUUUUUGAAGCGAUUAGCUUGCUAAGAGUGGAAAUGUUGGCAUCUUAGUGGCGGACGGGUGAGUAACGCGUGGGGAACCUGCCCUGUACAGGGGGAUAACACUUAGAAAUAGGUGCUAAUACCGCAUAAGCGCACAGUAUCGCAUGAUACAGUGUGAAAAACUCCGGUGGUACAGGAUGGACCCGCGUCUGAUUAGCUGGUUGGCGGGGUAACGGCCCACCAAGGCGACGAUCAGUAGCCGGCCUGAGAGGGUGAACGGCCACAUUGGGACUGAGACACGGCCCAA